CCUACGGGAGGCAGCAGUGGGGAAUUUUGGACAAUGGGCGCAAGCCUGAUCCAGCCAUGCCGCGUGUGGGAAGAAGGCCUUCGGGUUGUAAACCACUUUUGUCAGGGAAGAAACGGCUCUUACUAAUAUUAGGGGCUAAUGACGGUACCUGAAGAAUAAGCACCGGCUAACUACGUGCCAGCAGCCGCGGUAAUACGUAGGGUGCAAGCGUUAAUCGGAAUUACUGGGCGUAAAGCGUGCGCAGGCGGCUUUGCAAGACAGAUGUGAAAUCCCCGGGCUCAACCUGGGAACUGCAUUUGUGACUGCAUGGCUAGAGUACGGUAGAGGGGGAUGGAAUUCCGCGUGUAGCAGUGAAAUGCGUAGAUAUGCGGAGGAACACCGAUGGCGAAGGCAAUCCCCUGGACCUGUACUGACGCUCAUGCACGAAAGCGUGGGGAGCAAACAGGAUUAGAUACCCUGGUAGUCCACGCCCUAAACGAUGUCAACUGGUUGUUGGACGGCUUGCUGUUCAGUAACGAAGCUAACGCGUGAAGUUGACCGCCUGGGGGNGGACGGCGCGAGUAGUAACGUAAGUAAGUAGAGCGNGAGAGNGCGACGACGACGACGAGGGAGGAGG
rnacentral:rRNA from 1 species